CCUACGGGUGGCAGCAGUGAGGAAUAUUGGUCAAUGGGCGCGAGCCUGAACCAGCCACGUAGCGCGAAGGAUGACUGCCCUACGGGUUGUAAACUUCUUUUAUAAAGGAAUAAAGUGAGGCACGUGUGCCUUUUUGUAUGUACUUUAUGAAUAAGGAUCGGCUAACUCCGUGCCAGCAGCCGCGGUAAUACGGAGGAUCCGAGCGUUGUCCGGAUUUAUUGGGUGUAAGGGGAGUGUAGAUGGCGUGUUAAGUCAGUUGUGAAAGUUUGCGGCUCAACCGUAAAAUUGCAAUUGAUACUGGUAGCCUUGAGUACAGGUGAGGUAGGCGGAAUUCGUGGUGUAGCGGUGAAAUGCGUAGAUAUAACGAAGAACUCCGAUGGCGAAGGCAGACUACUAAACGGUCACUGACAGUGAGGCGCGAAAGUGUGGGGAGCAAACAGGAUUAGAUACCCGGGUAGUC
rnacentral:rRNA from 1 species